rnacentral:rRNA from 1 species
AGAGUUUGAUCCUGGCUCAGGAUGAACGCUAGCUACAGGCUUAACACAUGCAAGUCGAGGGGCAGCAUGUUGGUUGCUUGCAACCAACGAUGGCGACCGGCGCACGGGUGAGUAACGCGUAUCCAACCUACCCUUGUCCAUCGGAUAACCCGUCGAAAGGCGGCCUAACACGAUAUGCGGUUCACGGCAGGCAUCUAAGGUGAACGAAAUGUGAAGGAGAAGGAUGGGGAUGCGUCUGAUUAGCUUGUUGGCGGGGUAACGGCCACAAGGCUACGGAUCAGUAGGGGUUCUGGAGAGGAAGGUCCCCCACGAUUGGGAACUGAGACACGGUCCAAACUCCUACGGGAGGCA